rnacentral:rRNA from 1 species
UGCGUAGGCGGACUAAUAAGUCAGUGGUGAAAUCUUUCGGCUCAACCGGGAACCUGCCAUUGAUACUGUUAGUCUUGAGUUCGGUUGAGGUAGGCGGAAUGUGUAAUGUAGCGGUGAAAUGCUUAGAUAUUACACAGAACACCAAUUGCGUAGGCAGCUUACUAGACCGACACUGACGCUGAGGCACGAAAGCGUGGGGAGCGAACAGGAUUAGAUACCCUGGUAGUCC